rnacentral:rRNA from 1 species
GAUGAACGCUAGCGGCAGGCCUAAUACAUGCAAGUCGAACGGUAAGGCCCUUUCGGGGGUACACGAGUGGCGGACGGGUGCGUAACGCGUAUGCAACAUGCCUUCCAGCGGGGGAUAUACCAGGGAAACUUGGCGCAAUACCCCAUAGAAUUACGGGACCGCAUGGUCUUGUGAUUAAAACUCCGGUGCUGGGAGAUUGGCAUGCGUGACAUUAGCUAGUUGGCGGGGUAACGGCCCACCAAGGCGACGAUGUCUAGCUGGUCUGAGAGGAUGAUCAGCCACACUGGGACUGAGACACGGCCCAGACUCCUACGGGAGGCAGCAGUAGGGAAGUAUUGGACAAUGGGGGGAAACCCUGGAUCCAGCCAUGCCGCGUGAGGGAAGAAGGGUCCUCUGGAUUGGUAAA